rnacentral:rRNA from 1 species
CCAUGCAUGUCUCAGUGCAAGCCGAACUAAGGUGAAACCGCGAAUGGCUCAUUAAAUCAGUUAUGGUUCCUUAGAUCGUACCAAAUUACUUGGAUAACUGUGGUAAUUCUAGAGCUAAUACAUGCAAACAGAGUCCCGACCAGAAAUGGAAGGGACGCUUUUAUUAGAUCAAAACCAAUCGGUCGGCUCGUCCGGUCCGUUUGCCUUGGUGACUCUGAAUAACUUUGGGCUGAUCGCACGGUCCUGGUACCGGCGACGCAUCUUUCAAAUGUCUGCCUUAUCAACUGUCGAUGGUAGGUUCUGCGCCUACCAUGGUUGUAACGGGUAACGGGGAAUCAGGGUUCGAUUCCGGAGAGGGAGCCUGAGAAACGGCUACCACAUCCAAGGAAGGCAGCAGGCGCGCAAAUUACCCACUCCCGGCACGGGGAGGUAGUGACGAAAAAUAACGAUACGGGACUCAUCCGAGGCCCCGUAAUCGGAAUGAAUACACUUUAAAUCCUUUAAUGAGUAUCCAUUGGAGGGCAAGUCUGGUGCCAGCAGCCGCGGUAAUUCCAGCUCCAAUAGCGUAUAUUAAAGUUGUUGCGGUUAAAAAGCUCGUAGUUGGAUUUGUGUCCCACGCUGUCGGUUCAUCGCUCGUCGGUGUCUAACUGGCAUGAUUCGUGGGACGUCCUGCCGGUGGUGGCGAGUCGAAAGCGUGCACCCGUUGUGGUUUCCACUUCGGUUCUUGCGCGCCGUAGGCGGACCCCGAUGAAAUCCUACCGCGGUGCUCUUCGCCGAGUGUCGAGGUGGGCCGGCACGUUUACUUUGAACAAAUUAGAGUGCUUAAAGCANGCCUGUUGCGCCUGAAUACUGUGUGCAUGGAAUAAUGGAAUAGGACCUCGGUUCUAUUUUGUUGGUUUUCGGAACCCGAGGUAAUGAUUAAUAGGGACAGGCGGGGGCAUUCGUAUUGCGACGUUAGAGUGAAAUUCUUGGAAUCGUCGCAAGACGGACCGAAGCGAAAGCAUUUGCCAAGUAUGUUUUCAUUAAUCAAGAACGAAAGUUUAGAGUU